AACGUAGGACACAAGCGUUAUCCGGAGUUACUGGGCGUAAAGGGUGCGUAGGCGGCCUGCUAAGUCGAACGUGAAAUCCCUGGGCUCAACCCAGGAACUGCGUCCGAUACUGGUUGGCUUGAAUCCGGGAGAGGGUCGUGGAAUUCCCGGUGUAGCGGUGAAAUGCGUAGAGAUCGGGAGGAACACCAGCGGCGAAGGCGGCGACCUGGACAAGUACUGACACUCAACUACGAAAGCGUGGGGAGCAAACAGG
rnacentral:rRNA from 1 species